rnacentral:tRNA from 1 species
GUCUUCGUGGUGUCAUGGUCAGCACACUCGGCGCGUAUUCGAGAGGUCAGUGGUUCAAGUCCCGGCGAGGGCA